rnacentral:tRNA from 1 species
AAUGGUGUAAUUUAAAAAAAAUAUUGCUCUGCAAAGGCAAGUUUGCUUUCGUUAGUCGCCAUUU